AUGCCGCUACUGCCCCACAUACACUGCUGCUACUGCCCCGCAUACACUGCUGCUACUGCCCCACAUACACUGCUGCUACUGCCCCACAUACACUGCCCCACAUACACUGCUGCUACUGCCCCACAUACACUGCUGCUACUGCCCCACAUACACUGCUGCUACUGCCCCACAUACACUGCUUCUACUGCCCCACAUACACUGCCUCUACUGCCCCACUUAAACUGCCGCUACUGCCCCACAUACACUGCCAGUACUGCCCCACAUACACUGCUGCUACUGCCCCACAUACACUGCUGCUACUGCACCACAAACACUGCUGCUACUGCCCCACAUACACUGCUGCUACUGCCCCACAUACACUGCUGUUACUGCCCCACAUACACUGCUGCUACUGCCCCACAUACACUGCUGCUACUGCCCCACAUACACUGCCUCUACUGCCCCACAUACACUGCCGCUACUGCCCCACAUACACUGCUGCUACUGCCCCACAUACACUGCCUCUACUGCCCCACAUACAAUGCCGCUACUGCCCCACAUACACUGCUGCUACUGCCCCGCAUACACUGCUGCUACUGCCCCACAUACACUGCUGCUACUGCCCCACAUACACUGCCCCACAUACACUGCUGCUACUGCCCCACAUACACUGCUGCUACUGCCCCACAUACACUGCUGCUACUGCCCAACAUACACUGCUGCUACUGCCCCACAUACACUGCUGCUACUGCCCCACAUACACUGCUGCUACUGCCCCACAUACACUGCCCCACAUACACUGCUGCUACUGCCCCACAUACACUGCUGCUACUGCCCCACAUACACUGCCACUACUGCCCCACAUACAAUGCCGCUACUGCCCCACAUACACUGCCGCUACUGCCCCACAUACACUGCUGCUACUGCCCCACAUACACUGCUGCUACUGCCCCACAUACACUGCUGCUACUGCCCCACAUACACUGCUGCUACUGCCCCACAUACACUGCUGCUACUGCCCCACAUACACUGCUGCUACUGCCCCACAUACACUGCCCCACAUACACUGCUGCUACUGCCCCACAUACACUGCUGCUACUGCCCCACAUACACUGCCGCUACUGCCCCACAUACACUACCCCACAUACACUGCUGCUACUGCCCCACAUACACUGCCACUACUGCCCCACAUACACUGCCGCUACUGCCCCACAUACACUGCUGCUACUGCCCCACUUACACUGCCCCACAUACACUGCCGCUAUUGCCCCACAUACACUGCUGCUACUGCCCCACAUACACUGCUGCUACUGCCCCACAUACACUGCUGCUACUGCCCCACAUAAACUGCUGCUACUGCCCCACAUACACUGCCGCUACUGCCCCACAUACACUGCUGCUACUGCCCCACAUACAAUGCUGCUACUGCCCCACUUAAACUGCCGCUACUGCCCCACAUACACUGCCAGUACUGCCCCACAUACACUGCUGCUACUGCCCCACAUACACUGCUGCUACUGCCCCACAUACACUGCUGCUACUGCCCCUCUUAAACUGCCGCUACUGCCCCACAUACACUGCCAGUACUGCCCCACAUACACUGCCAGUACUGCCCCACAUACACUGCUGCUACUGCACCACAAACACUGCUGCUACUGCCCCACAUACACUGCUGCUACUGCCCCACAUACACUGCCGCUACUGCCCCACAUACACUGCUGCUACUGCCCCACAUACACUGCUGCUACUGCCCCACAUACACUGCUGCUACUGCCCCACAUACACUGCUGCUACUGCCCCACAUACACUGCUGCUACUGCCCCACAUACACUGCUGCUACUGCCCCACAUACACUGCUGCUACUGCCCCACAUACACUGCCUCUACUGCCCCACAUACACUGCUGCUACUGCCCCACAUACACUGCUGCUACUGCCCCACAUACACUGCUGCUACUGGCCCACAUACACUGCUGCUACUGCCCCACAUACACUGCUGCUACUGCACCACAAACACUGCUGCUACUGCCCCACAUACACUGCUGCUACUGCCCCACAUACACUGCUGCUACUGCCCCACAUACACUGCUGCUACUGCCCCACAUACACUGCUGCUACUGCCCCACAUACACUACCUCUUGUGCCCCACAUACACUGCCGCUACGGCCCCACUUACACUGCCGCUACUGCCCCACAUACACUGCUGCUACUGCCCCACAUACACUGCUGCUACUGCCCCACAUACACUGCUGCUACUGCCCCACAUACACUGCUGCUACUGCCCCACAUACACUGCUGCUACUGCCCCACUUACACUGCCACUACUGCCCCACAUACACUGCUUCUACUGCCCCACAUACACUGCCUCUACUGCCCCACUUAAACUGCCGCUACUGCCCCACAUACACUGCCAGUACUGCCCCACAUACACUGCUGCUACUGCCCCACAUACACUGCUGCUACUGCACCACAAACACUGCUGCUACUGCCCCACAUACACUGCUGCUACUGCCCCACAUACACUGCUGUUACUGCCCCACAUACACUGCUGCUACUGCCCCACAUACACUGCUGCUACUGCCCCACAUACACUGCCUCUACUGCCCCACAUACACUGCCGCUACUGCCCCACAUACACUGCUGCUACUGCCCCACAUACACUGCCUCUACUGCCCCACAUACAAUGCCGCUACUGCCCCACAUACACUGCUGCUACUGCCCCGCAUACACUGCUGCUACUGCCCCACAUACACUGCUGCUACUGCCCCACAUACACUGCCCCACAUACACUGCUGCUACUGCCCCACAUACACUGCUGCUACUGCCCCACAUACACUGCUGCUACUGCCCAACAUACACUGCUGCUACUGCCCCACAUACACUGCUGCUACUGCCCCACAUACACUGCUGCUACUGCCCCACAUACACUGCCCCACAUACACUGCUGCUACUGCCCCACAUACACUGCUGCUACUGCCCCACAUACACUGCCACUACUGCCCCACAUACAAUGCCGCUACUGCCCCACAUACACUGCCGCUACUGCCCCACAUACACUGCUGCUACUGCCCCACAUACACUGCUGCUACUGCCCCACAUACACUGCUGCUACUGCCCCACAUACACUGCUGCUACUGCCCCACAUACACUGCUGCUACUGCCCCACAUACACUGCUGCUACUGGCCCACAUACACUGCCCCACAUACACUGCUGCUACUGCCCCACAUACACUGCUGCUACUGCCCCACAUACACUGCCGCUACUGCCCCACAUACACUACCCCACAUACACUGCUGCUACUGCCCCACAUACACUGCCACUACUGCCCCACAUACACUGCCGCUACUGCCCCACAUACACUGCUGCUACUGCCCCACUUACACUGCCCCACAUACACUGCCGCUAUUGCCCCACAUACACUGCUGCUACUGCCCCACAUACACUGCUGCUACUGCCCCACAUACACUGCUGCUACUGCCCCACAUACACUGCUGCUACUGCCCCACAUACACUACCUCUUGUGCCCCACAUACACUGCCGCUACGACCCCACUUACACUGCCGCUACUGCCCCACAUACACUGCUGCUACUGCCCCACAUACACUGCUGCUACUGCCCCACAUACACUGCUGCUACUGCCCCACAUACACUGCUGCUACUGCCCCACAUACACUGCUGCUACUGCCCCACUUACACUGCCACUACUGCCCCACAUACACUGCUUCUACUGCCCCACAUACACUGCCUCUACUGCCCCACUUAA
ensembl:lncRNA